GAUCAAAAAUAACUAAAAAAAAAAAAAGUCAUUUUAAAAUGUUUUGCAAGGCAGGGUGUGAGAAGCGAUCUUUUCGUGCCUUCCCAGUGGGAAUCAAGGCUAUCUGUCUCUUGUAAAUUCAGGUCUGUACAGUAUCUGUAUGAAAAUAUGAAGGGAAAUGAGCUACUACCUGCUUACUGCAGCUGUUGAGGCAGUCUGGGGCAGCAGUUUCACUCAGGGACAAACGGUCCUACUAUAGCAAGAGGCAGACUCGAGGUAUUGUCCAGUUUACAGACACAGGCCAGACAUUUUUAAAAUUUGAAUCAGGAUAAUUAAACGCCGACAUUUCAUUUUGUUUCACUUGUCAUGUACUCAAAGUGGUGGCUAAGAAAGGUGUAGAGCACAGGUAAGUCAAGCAAUAAGCAAAACAAACCCUCAACCAGAAUAAGCACUGUCGCGCUGUCUCCACCCUGCAGAGAUGUUCCAGCAGCAGGAUCUUCCCACUAAGAGAAGCAGAGGAGAAGCAACGUGUCUGGUGCUUCAAGGCCUAGUGCACAGCGAUGACUGCCAGAGGCGGGAAAGUGGAUGAGCCAGCCAGCAAGAUAAUAUAUGGUCAGCCUAUUAGUAUUUCUGGAUAAAAUGAGAAGAGCACCUGUGACAGGAAAACUAAAGACAAAGAACACAUCAGAGAAAAGUCACCUAAGGAUGCAAAAUCUUAAGGAAAUCCUAAAUACAGGAAAAGAAGAAGUUAGAAAUGAAAACAUCUGACUGUUUUUGUCAUCUUAAACUACAAAAAAACACUGUCAUCUUUGCAGACACAACACAUGAGCCUGUAAGAUGUGGAUGUGAAGGAACAGAGACUACCCAAGCUUACCUGCAUGGAAACUGUGAAAUUGCCUGGAAAAUUUGGGGAAUACGGAGCCGAGCAUUUAUUAGGAAGAUUGUCACUGAUUCUGAGUAGAAACGAAGAAAGAGUUCCAUUCAAACUUAAGUGAAGAGAAAGAAUUCGGCAACUUCAGAAGUUUAUAUAGCAAUAUGGAGAAGCACAGAAAGGAGACAAACAGUUCAAAGUACAAUAUAACAGUGAAAAGUACUUUUUUUUUUUUUUUAAUUUAUAAUGCAUUUCCUUCAGUUGCCUGUGCUCAUCCUUUUUUGUUCAGCUUAAGACAUUUGUGCAAAAAAGCUUCUUUAACAUUUUGUGAACAAACACAAAAAUCGCUAGAUUUUUAUGUCUCCACAUGCACAUGGUUUUGUUCAAUUUAUUCAAGCACUCACACUCUCAGAAAGUAAGAACAAUUUUGUCCAGCAAGCAAGAACUACAGACAGGUCCCUGCUGAUUAACGGAUGCCUUUGAAGAACCUUUUUCUGGUGAAAACUUAUCAGUAGAAGAUGUGUUUGUUGGAUUCCUGACUGCAGCAUAUUUCUUUCUUGAACCACAGGAAGUAGGAUGAAGGGCAGAGGAGAUAGUGAUUUGGGAUAAACCUGGAGCACUGGGACUACAGUUCCAGCCCGAAGCCUAACUUGAAGGAGGGGAAAUGCGAGUCUCAUAAGGAACAGGAUGACAAAUCCUUCCUUCUUCUAAUGUAUGCCCAGAUUUGGAAUUUAGAAACACCAAUAAAGGCAAGCAGUAG